GUAUACCGUACCCUGUUGCUUCGGCGGGCCCGCCUCACGGCCGCCGGGGGACCUCGCGUCCCCGGGCCCGCGCCCGCCGAAGACCCCAACACGAACACUGUCUGAAAAGUGCAGUCUGAGUCGAUUGUUACCAAUCAGUCAAAACUUUCAACAAUGGAUCUCUUGGUUCCGGCAUCGAUGAAGAACGCAGCGAAAUGCGAUAACUAAUGUGAAUUGCAGAAUUCAGUGAAUCAUCGAGUCUUUGAACGCACAUUGCGCCCCCUGGUAUUCCGGGGGGCAUGCCUGUCCGAGCGUCAUUGCUGCCCUCAAGCACGGCUUGUGUGUUGGGCCCCGUCCCCGGUACCCCCGGGGACGGGCCCGAAAGGCAGCGGCGGCACCGCGUCCGGUCCUCGAGCGUAUGGGGCUUUGUCACCCGCUCUGCAGGCCCGGCCGGCGCCAGCCGACCAACCCAACCAUUUUUUACAGGUGACCUCGGAUC
rnacentral:misc_RNA from 1 species